GCGCGAGUGGCGGAAUUGGCAGACGCGCUGGAUUUAGGUUCCAGUGGCUUCGGACGUGGGGGUUCAAGUCCCCCCCCUCGCGCA
rnacentral:tRNA from 1 species